CCUACGGGAGGCUGCAGUGAGGAAUAUUGGGCAAUGGACGAGAGUCUGAACCAGCCAAGUAGCGUGAAGGAUGACUGCCCUAUGGGUUGUAAACUUCUUUUAUAUGGGAAUAAAAUGUUCCACGUGUGGGAUUUUGUAUGUACCAUAUGAAUAAGGAUCGGCUAACUCCGGGCCAGCAGCCGCGGUAAUACGGAGGAUCCGAGCGUUAUCCGGAUUUAUUGGGUUUAAAGGGAGCGUAGGUGGAUUGUUAAGUCAGUUGUGAAAGUUUGCGGCUCAACCGUAAGAUUGCAGUUGAAACUGGCAGUCUUGAGUACAGUAGAGGUGAGCGGAAUUCGUGGUGUAGCGGUGAAAUGCUUAGAUAUCACGAAGAACUCCGAUUGCGAAGGCAGUUCACUGGACUGCAACUGACACUGAGGCUCGAAAGUGUGGGUAUCAAACAGGAUUAGAUACCCCGGUAGUC
rnacentral:rRNA from 1 species